rnacentral:rRNA from 1 species
UACGGAGGGUGCAAGCGUUGUUCGGAUUUAUUGGGCGUAAAGCGCGUGUAGGCGGUUUCUUAAGUCUGAUGUGAAAGCCCUGGGCUCAACCCAGGAAGUGCAUUGGAUACUGGGAGACUUGAAUACGGGAGAGGGUAGUGGAAUUCCUAGUGUAGGAGUGAAAUCCGUAGAUAUUAGGAGAAACACCGGUGGCGAAGGCGGCUACCUGGACCGAUAUUGACGCUGAGACGCGAAAGCGUGGGGAGCAAACAGG